AGGAGUAUAGUUAAAUAUAACAGUUUCUUUGCAAGAAAAAAGUACUAAUUAAUUAGUUUCCCUUA
rnacentral:tRNA from 1 species